UACGGAGGGUGCGAGCGUUUUUCGGAAUUACUGGGCGUAAAGCGCGUGUAGGCGGCCUCUUAAGUCUGGUGUGAAAUCCCGGGGCUUACCCCCGGAAGUGCAUUGGAUACUGGGAGGCUCGAGUACCGGAGAGGAGGGUGGAAUUCCUGGUGUAGCGGUGAAAUGCGUAGAUAUCAGGAGGAACACCGGUGGCGAAGGCGGCCCUCUGGACGGAUACUGACGCUGAGAAGCGAAAGCGUGGGGAGCAAACAGG
rnacentral:rRNA from 1 species